GCCAUAGAUAGCUCAGUCGAUAGAGAACAAAAUUCUUAAUCUCGGGUCCGUGGGUUCGAGCCACACGUUGGGCA